AAAAAGCAAAGUGAGCAAUAAUUCCAUAAUAAAGUUUUCUUUUUCUUUUUCUUUUUUGGGUUGAAGAGUGGUGCAUAUAAUAUGUAAAGGAAGGUUAAAAUUUACCAACUGCUGUUACCUAACUUUGCUGGUGGGUAGGGGAGAGGGUUGGGAUCGAUGCUGGAAUCUAGGGCUAAUAGAGUAGCCAGUAAUUGGCCAAAAAACGAAAAAGAUUUCUAUUUUACCAUCAGAAAAAAGCAAUUGAUGAUUUGAUAUUGAAAUUGACACCGUCAAAGCAUGUCUAAUUGGAACUGUCAUUUUUCUUUUUUUUUUUAGUGCUAAUAUAAACUUUUGGCAAAUACACUAGUGGUAUGUGUUCUUAGUCAUUGCAUUUUUCUUCAAGAAAAAUAUAUGUUCCGGAGCUUUUACUUGAUUUAUAAAAAAGAGUAAUGUCUUUUUAGAGAGAAAGAGACAAAGAAUUUUCUUUCUUUGAUGCCCGAGUGAUAAGUUCUAUAUGUUUUUAGGGUUUAGGGUAAUCCGACCGAAAAAAAAAGAGUGAUAAGUUCUAUAUGUUUUUUCAUCAUGUCGCCUGC
rnacentral:lncRNA from 1 species